rnacentral:rRNA from 1 species
UAAAAACCCCGACUUCGGAAGGGGUGUAUUUAUUAGAUACAAAACCAAUGCCCUUCGGGGCUCUUUGGUGAUUCAUGAUAACUAUACGAAUCGCACGGCCUUGCGCCGGCGAUGGUUCAUUCAAAUUUCUUCCCUAUCAACUUUCGAUGUUUGGGUAUUGGCCAAACAUGGUUGCAACGGGUAACGGAGGGUUAGGGCUCGACCCCGGAGAAGGAGCCUGAGAAACGGCUACUACAUCCAAGGAAGGCAGCAGGCGCGCAAAUUACCCAAUCCCGACUCGGGGAGGUAGUGAUAAUAAAUACUGAUACAGGGCCCUUUCGGGCCUUGUAAUUGGAAUGAGUACAAUUUAAAUCCCUUAACGAGGAACAAUUGGAGGGCAAGACUGGUGCCAGCAGCCGCGGUAAUUCCAGCUCCAAUAGCGUAUAUUAAAGUUGUUGUGGUUAAAAAGCUCGUAGUUGAACCUUGGGCCUGGCUGGCCGGUCCGCCUCACCGCGUGCACUGGUCCGGCCGGGCCUUUCCCUCUGUGGAACCCCAUACCCUUCACUGGGCGUGGCGGGGAAACAGGACAUUUACUUU